UACGUAGGGCGCAAGCGUUGUCCGGAAUUACUGGGCGUAAAGCGCGCGUAGGCGGUGAUCCAUGUCAGAGGUGAAAGCCUGGGGCUCAACUCCAGAAUUGCCUUUGAAACGGGAUCGCUAGAGUCCGAGAGAGGAUGGCGGAAUUCCUAGUGUAGAGGUGAAAUUCGUAGAUAUUAGGAAGAACACCGGUGGCGAAGGCGGCCAUCUGGCUCGGUACUGACGCUCAGGCGCGAAAGCGUGGGGAGCAAACAGG
rnacentral:rRNA from 1 species